rnacentral:misc_RNA from 1 species
GGGGGUUGUGGGCUUCAUUAAUGAGGUCAGCUCUCCUUAAAUGCAUUAGCGGAACUUUUGUGGACCGUCUAUUGGUGUGAUAAUUAUCUACGCCGUGGAUGUGAAGCAGCUUUAUGAAGUUCAGCUUCUAAUCGUCCAUUGACUUGGACAAUUUUUGACAAUUUGACCUCAAAUCAGGUAGGACUACCCGCUGAACUUAA